rnacentral:rRNA from 1 species
CCACCACUAAGCCAGUGGUGAACUCCACAUACGCAUCCUUUGCUGAGGAUACGGUUAACGGAGCGAAAGCGACGUUCAACCUCAAAAGAAGCAGAGGGGGCUUAGUGGUGGGGUGACUGCGUACCUUUUGUAUAAUGGGUCAGCGACUUAUAUUCUGUAGCAAGGUUAACCGAAUAGGGGAGCCGGAGGGAAACCGAGUCUUAACCGGGCGUUAAGUUGCAGGGUAUAGACCCGAAACCCGGUGAUCUAGCCAUGGGCAGGUUGAAGGUUGGGUAACACUAACUGGAGGACCGAACCGACUAAUGUUGAAAAAUUAGCGGAUGACCUGUGGCUGGGGGUGAAAGGCCAAUCAAACCGGGAGAUAGCUGGUUCUCCCCGAAAGCUAUUUAGGUAGCGCCUCGUGAAUUCAUCUCCGGGGGUAGAGCACUGUUUCGGCUAGGGGGUCAUCCCGACUUACCAACCCGAUGCAAACUGCGAAUACCGGAGAAUGUUAUCACGGGAGACACACGGCGGGUGCUAACGUCCGUCGUGAAGAGGGAAACAACCCAGACCGCCAGCUAAGGUCCCAAAGUCAUGGUUAAGUGGGAAACGAUGUGGGAAGGCCCAGACAGCCAGGAUGUUGGCUUAGAAGCAGCCAUCAUUUAAAGAAAGCGUAAUAGCUCACUGGUCGAGUCGGCCUGCGCGGAAGAUGUAACGGGGCUAAACCAUGCACCGAAGCUGCGGCAGCGAACGUAUCACCCAAGACAACUUUACGGAGUUGACGAUUGAUGGAGCGAAGCGACGUCAAAGCGUUCAUUAAAGUCGAGUUGGCUUAGGGAUACGUUCGUUGGGUAGGGGAGCGUUCUGUAAGCCUGUGAAGGUGGCCUGUGAGGGUUGCUGGAGGUAUCAGAAGUGCGAAUGCUGACAUAAGUAACGAUAAAGCGGGUGAAAAGCCCGCUCGCCGGAAGACCAAGGGUUCCUGUCCAACGUUAAUCGGGGCAGGGUGAGUCGACCCCUAAGGCGAGGCCGAAAGGCGUAGUCGAUGGGAAACGGGUUAAUAUUCCCGUACUUGGUGUUACUGCGAAGGGGGGACGGAGAAGGCUAUGUUGGCCGGGCGACGGUUGUCCCGGUUUAAGCGUGUAGGUGUGUGUUCCAGGUAAAUCCGGUUCACUUUAACACUGAGGCGUGAUGACGAGGCACUACGGUGCUGAAGCAACAAAUGCCCUGCUUCCAGGAAAAGCCUCUAAGCAUCAGGUAACAUCAAAUCGUACCCCAAACCGACACAGGUGGUCAGGUAGAGAAUACCAAGGCGCUUGAGAGAACUCGGGUGAAGGAACUAGGCAAAAUGGUGCCGUAACUUCGGGAGAAGGCACGCUGACACGUAGGUGAAGUGAUUUACUCACGGAGCUGAAGUCAGUCGAAGAUACCAGCUGGCUGCAACUGUUUAUUAAAAACACAGCACUGUGCAAACACGAAAGUGGACGUAUACGGUGUGACGCCUGCCCGGUGCCGGAAGGUUAAUUGAUGGGGUCAGCGCAAGCGAAGCUCCUGAUCGAAGCCCCGGUAAACGGCGGCCGUAACUAUAACGGUCCUAAGGUAGCGAAAUUCCUUGUCGGGUAAGUUCCGACCUGCACGAAUGGCGUAAUGAUGGCCAGGCUGUCUCCACCCGAGACUCAGUGAAAUUGAACUCGCUGUGAAGAUGCAGUGUACCCGCGGCAAGACGGAAAGACCCCGUGAACCUUUACUAUAGCUUGACACUGAACAUUGAGCCUUGAUGUGUAGGAUAGGUGGGAGGCUUUGAAGCGUGGACGCCAGUCUGCGUGGAGCCGACCUUGAAAUACCACCCUUUAAUGUUUGAUGUUCUAACGUGGACCCGUUA